rnacentral:rRNA from 1 species
CCUACGGGAUGCAGCAGUGGGGAAUCUUGGACAAUGGGCGAAAGCCUGAUCCAGCCAUGCCGCGUGAGUGGAGCAGGCCUUAGGGUUGUAAAGCUCUUUUGCCCGGGAAGAUAAUGACGGUACCGGGAGAAUAAGCCCCGGCAAACUUCGUGCCAGCAGCCGCGGUAAUACGAAGGGGGCUAGCGUUGUUCGGAUUUACCGGGCGUAAAGCGCACGUAGGCGGAUUGUUAUGUCGGGGGUGAAAUCCUGGAGCUCAACUCCAGAAUUGCCUUCGAUACUGGCUUUCUAGAGGCUGGAAGAGGUUAGUGGAAUUCCCAGUGUAGAGGUGAAAUUCGUAGAUAUUGGGAAGAACACCAGUGGCGAAGGCGGCUAACUGGUCCAGAUCUGACGCUGAGGUGCGAAAGCGUGGGGAGCAAACAGGAUUAGAUACCCGAGUAGUC